AGCCCAAAUACUAUAUUAUAUCUGUGGGUGCCAAAGAGAUUUUCAUUUAUGUAAUAUAUUGGUCUACUAUUUUAAAUCCUUAAUCUUAGUGCCUGUAGUUGUGUAUACUAAAAGUGCCUAUUAGAUUAAAUACUUUAGGCACAAGAAAUCAUCCACGCAUGAAUGCUGAAUGAGUAAAACAGCACUUCACAUAGGGACAUAUGCUUGGGUAUAAUGUGUGGGAUACAAUAAAUUGCAAUGUCAGCCAUAUAUGUAGAACAGCCUGUUCUGAUAAAUUCAAAGUUCCUGCUGAGAGGGAAAACCAUAAACUAGCAGUGUGAAAGCUGUUCUCACCAGACAACUGGAAGUACUGGCAACUUACAGGUGCAUCACAUGAGAAUUUACUUAGUUGUCCCUGUGAAAAUGUUCUACCAUGGGGCAGUGGAUUACCUGCCUUGGGCAGCUGCCCAUGCAAGGCAAGGAAAGGCUAAGAAAUGUUAUUUCUUUCCACCCCUUCAUCUUACACUCUUCUUCUCAACUCUUCCCUAGGUAAAAUCACCCCUGGAUUAACUGUAAGUGCUCUCAGCCGUGGUCUUUGGAGUACAUUUGAAGCAGUUCUAUCAACUCAGCUCUAGGUCUCUUAAGCACAGGACUUCAUAGCUCAGCAGGUAGUGUGCUGCCAUCCUGAAGUGUGAGUGGCAUGAGGAGAUGGCUUCUGAAGACAAGUGGGAGAAAAAAAAAAAACAGGCUUAGCACAACAUGUUGCAGAGAAACGACUUCAAAGUUUUAAUAAUCAAUUCUGAUUUUUAACCCUACCGGAAAAAAAUGUCACAAACUGUGAAAUCCAAUGUGCUACACAUCCGUGUAGCUGUUACUUGACUGAGUAAUUACUGUGGGAGUGACAGUCCCAUUACCAGAUCUUGGACAGGUAAACACUGAGCGGGAGCUACACGGUCACUGAAGAAUGAAAUAUCAACAAGGUAUUGUGUUGGACUUCCUUCACUUUCAGCUUGGUUGUAAUCUUCAGGCACUGUGACUUGUAUUUUUUACAAGAAUAUGAGCCCUUUGCAGCUCUAUCUAACCCCUUCAAAGAGCGUGGGGUGUAAUGUGUGUCUGUUGCUAGUGAUACUUUUUUCUUUGUGAUUCAGUAUGGUUUGAAUAUGGUGGAGUUCAGUUCUUGCUGCUUUUUUUUCAGAGCCGUCAUUCUGAUUUGUUUGUGGGUUGUUGUUGUUUUGGGGUUUAUUUUUGCUGUGUAUAAUGAUAUCUGAAUAACCCUGGUGUAUCCUUUCUCCUCCAUGCAAUCUGUAAUAUUGGCCAUUCUGCACUGCACUACUUCUCUUGGAGAUUUGACUUCAGUCCUGUCAGCCACACAGCUCAUCCUAUCACUGGCCUCCUGCUGAUAAGACUGACAACGCCAGACUGCACAACUUACCCUCCAAAGAGGAAGCAGGGAGAAAACGUCCCAGAGAUAUAUUUCCUCUGUAGCUUUUAUUAAAAUCAAUCUUGCUCACCUG